GAUGAACGCUGGCGGCGUGCCUAAUACAUGCAAGUCGAGCGAUCGGACGAGAAGCUUGCUUCCCUGCUGUUAGCGGCGAACGUGUGAGUAACACGUGUAUACCCUACUUAUAGGACGGGGAGAACUUCGGGAACCCGGAGCUAAUACGAGCUAAUAUUUUGAACCGCAUGGUUCAAACGUGAAUGGCGGUCUUGCUGUCACUUAUAGAUGGACUCGCGCUGCAUUAGCUAGUUGGUAAGGUAACGGCUUACCAAGGCAACGAUGCGUAGCCGACCUGAGAGGGUGAUCGGCCACACUGGAACUGAGACACGGACCAGACUCCUACGGGAGGCAGCAGUAGGGAAUCUUCGGCAAUGGGCGAAAGCCUGACGGAGCAACGCCGCGUGAGUGAUGAAGGUCUUCGGAUCGUAAAACUCUGUUAUUGGGGAAGAACAGAUGUGUAAGUAACUGUGCACAACGUGACGGUACCUUAUCAGAAAGCCACGGCUAACUACGUG
rnacentral:rRNA from 1 species